GGGGCCGCGCCCUGGCCGUCGCGCCCGCGCCCAGAGCCCGGGAGCAGGAGCGCGCGGGCCGGAGCGCGUAGGUGUGAGAAUGUGUGAGGGGCAUGGUCUGUGGACGAGUGCGGGGCUGUGGGGCGCUGUGCGCCUGCCUCCCGGGACGUGGGCUUACCGAGCCGCUGCGUGCACCGUUCGGAGCGGGUCUCGGACCGCGGGGUGUGCGGGCGCGGAGCCCGCGGCCUGGGGCUCGGCAGAGGGCGGCUGUCUGCAAGUGGGCCCCCGGCCCGACCAGGCCGGGCCGGGCCGCGCCCCAGUGUGCGGGCCGCGCUGCGGCUCCGGGCGUUCGGUCCUGGUUGUCGAGUCUCAGUGCGAGCCGUGCGGCACCGCCAGGCCGCUCUGCCUCUUCCCGCCCCUCUAAUCUAAACCAUGCGGGGAUCCCUGUCCCAGCCAGGCCUGCCGGGCCGAGGGCCGCAGGGAGGGCACCGAGCCACGCGGUGGGGGAGCGCGCGGCCAGCUCGGGGCUCGGGGUCCUGGGGCCGCGGAGCCAAGGGACCCUAGAGCCCCCCUCCCCGGGGGGCGGCGGGCGCAGACUGAUUGACAGCGGCGACGUCAGCGCAGGGGGGUGGCGGCCCCGGAGGGAGGGAGGAAGGAGGAGGGAGCUGAGGCCCCAAAGUGCAGCCUCGGAGAUCAAGGGCCCGCUCCAGAGUCAGGAUGUGUCGGGCCCCGAGGGCGCGGCGGGCAACGGGACACUGACCCAGCGGCCCCGAGUCGGUGCCCAGGCCGUCCUGUGCCACUCGGACCGAGCCUGCAGUGAACCUCGGGCCGCAGGCGCCUCCGCAUGCUGCAGCGCAGUUAGGGAGAUGCUGCAGGAUAAGGGCCUGUCGGAGAGCGAGGAGGCCUUCCGGGCCCCGGGCUCGGCGCUCGGCGAGGCCAGCGCUUCCAACGCCGCCAACAACCCCGAGCCCGCGCUGGCCGCGCCGGGCCUCAGCGGAGCCGCGCUCGGCAGCCCCCCGGGCCCAGGCGCCGACGCCGCCGCCGCCGCUGCCGCCGCCGAGCAGACCAUCGAGAACAUCAAGGUGGGCCUGCAUGAGAAGGAGCUCUGGAAGAAGUUCCACGAAGCGGGCACCGAAAUGAUCAUCACCAAGGCGGGCAGGAGGAUGUUUCCCAGCUACAAGGUAAAAGUCACAGGCAUGAACCCUAAGACCAAGUACAUCCUGCUGAUUGACAUCGUCCCUGCGGAUGACCACCGCUACAAGUUCUGUGACAACAAAUGGAUGGUGGCCGGGAAGGCUGAGCCCGCCAUGCCAGGAAGGCUCUAUGUCCACCCCGAUUCUCCUGCCACCGGGGCCCACUGGAUGCGGCAGCUAGUCUCUUUCCAGAAGCUGAAACUCACAAACAACCACCUGGACCCCUUCGGUCAUAUCAUCCUCAAUUCCAUGCACAAGUACCAGCCACGGCUACACAUCGUGAAGGCUGAUGAGAACAAUGCUUUUGGCUCCAAAAACACAGCCUUCUGCACCCAUGUGUUCCCAGAGACUUCCUUCAUCUCUGUGACCUCCUACCAGAAUCACAAGAUCACACAGCUGAAAAUUGAGAACAACCCUUUUGCCAAGGGAUUCCGGGGCAGUGACGACAGCGACCUGCGUGUGGCCCGACUACAGAGCAAAGAAUAUCCUGUGAUCUCAAAAAGCAUCAUGAGACAGAGGCUUGUCUCCACCCAGCUCUCAGCCAAGCCUGACGUCAGCCCCCUGCAUGGUGCCCACCAGGCGCUCCAGCACUACCAGUAUGAGAAUGGUGCUCACAUGCAGUUUGCUGCGACCGAGCCACAGGACCUUCCCCUCAACACCUUCCCAGCCCAGAGGGACUCCAGUCUCUUCUAUCACUGCCUGAAAAGACGAGCAGACAGUGCCCGCCACCUGGACCUGCCCUGCAAGCGAUCCUAUCUGGAGGCUCCCCCUGCAGUGGGGGAGGAUCAUUACUUCCGCUCUCCCCCUCCCUAUGACCAACAGAUGCUGAGCCCCUCCUACUGCAGUGAGGUGACCCCAAGAGAAGCCUGUAUGUACUCAGGUUCAGGGCCCGAGAUUGCUGGGGUGUCUGGUGUGGACGACUUGCCCCCACCCCCACUGAGCUGUAACAUGUGGACAUCGGUCUCACCGUACACAAGCUACAGCGUUCAGACGAUGGAGACUGUGCCUUACCAAUCCUUCCCCACACACUUCACCGCCACCACUAUGAUGCCUCGGCUGCCUACUAUCUCUGCUCAGAGCUCCCAGCCACCGGGAAACACCCACUUCAGCGUCUACAAUCAGCUCUCACAGUCUCAGGUCCGGGAGCGGGGGCCCGCCGCCGCCUCCUUCCCCAGGGAGCGAGGCCUCCCUGCAGUGUGCGAGAGGAAGCCACCCUCUCCACACUUGAAUGCUGCCAAUGAGUUCCUCUACUCUCAAAGCUUCUCCUUGUCCCGGGAGGCUUCCUUACAAUACCAUUCAGGAAUGGGAACUGUAGAGAACUGGACUGACGGAUGACUCCCAUGUUUCUUGACAGCCCCAGGACCAUGUUCAUCCAGUGUUAACCUCUGUGUGUGGCCUGCACUACCAAGAAACACAGGAAGACUCGGCCUCUCAGGCACCAUCUGCAUCCUGUGACUGGCAAUUAUGAAACACACUUCACCUGGCAACGUCCCCAGGAGGUUACAUCGGAGCUGCCGCCAGGCAGAGCCUGUUCUCCCAGAAAAUCCUCGCCUCUGGAGCAAGAAAGCCCAACAGAAAUAAAAACAAGAAUUGAGAAAACAUUGAUUUCUUCCAGUAAAUUCAGCCAGUGAGCUCAGAGAGCAAGGAUAAUUCUCCAGUGAGGUGAAUCGUGUAGUCCCCAGCCCAGGUCUUUAGCAUCGAACGUCACCAGACCAUCCACGGGGCUGGUAUGAACUCUGUAAUCAAAUUUGGGAAAUCACUAAACUCUUUGCAUGCUGAAUAGCUAUUUAUAUAUUAUAUAUAUAUAAAUAAAUAAAUAUAUAUAUAUAUAUAUAUCUCACAAAUGCAGGCCACAUGUCAAAUUCAGCUUUGCUUUUUACAAAUGAAUAAACCUAAUAAAAUGAAUGCUGGAGGGGGUAUUUGGAAAGACAUCUAUUUAAAAUUUUAUUACACAUUUGAUGUUAAAAACUAAGAAUGGUUUAGAUAAAACAUAUAAAUAAAUAAAUAAUAAAUAUAUAAAUAUAUAAAUAUAUAAAUAAAUAUAUAUAUAUAUAAACAUACACACCACAGAUUAAACUUUAUUAGAAAGACACAUUAGCCAACAGGGGGUAUGGAACUUCAAGUGUUUUGUUAUAUAGCAUGGACAUUUUAUUUUACAUAUCAGAACAUAAAGCCAUUUUACAACUGUGAA